AGCGACUUAUAUUCUGUAGCAAGGUUAACCGAAUAGGGGAGCCGAAGGGAAACCGAGUCUUAACUGGGCGUUAAGUUGCAGGGUAUAGACCCGAAACCCGGUGAUCUAGCCAUGGGCAGGUUGAAGGUUGGGUAACACUAACUGGAGGACCGAACCGACUAAUGUUGAAAAAUUAGCGGAUGACUUGUGGCUGGGGGUGAAAGGCCAAUCAAACCGGGAGAUAGCUGGUUCUCCCCGAAAGCUAUUUAGGUAGCGCCUCGUGAAUUCAUCUCCGGGGGUAGAGCACUGUUUCGGCAAGGGGGUCAUCCCGACUUACCAACCCGAUGCAAACUGCGAAUACCGGAGAAUGUUAUCACGGGAGACACACGGCGGGUGCUAACGUCCGUCGUGAAGAGGGAAACAACCCAGACCGCCAGCUAAGGUCCCAAAGUCAUGGUUAAGUGGGAAACGAUGUGGGAAGGCCCAGACAGCCAGGAUGUUGGCUUAGAAGCAGCCAUCAUUUAAAGAAAGCGUAAUAGCUCACUGGUCGAGUCGGCCUGCGCGGAAGAUGUAACGGGGCUAAACCAUGCACCGAAGCUGCGGCAGCGACACUAUGUGUUGUUGGGUAGGGGAGCGUUCUGUAAGCCUGUGAAGGUGGCCUGUGAGGGUUGCUGGAGGUAUCAGAAGUGCGAAUGCUGACAUAAGUAACGAUAAAGCGGGUGAAAAGCCCGCUCGCCGGAAGACCAAGGGUUCCUGUCCAACGUUAAUCGGGGCAGGGUGAGUCGACCCCUAAGGCGAGGCCGAAAGGCGUAGUCGAUGGGAAACAGGUUAAUAUUCCUGUACUUGGUGUUACUGCGAAGGGGGGACGGAGAAGGCUAUGUUGGCCGGGCGACGGUUGUCCCGGUUUAAGCGUGUAGGCUGGUUUUCCAGGCAAAUCCGGAAAACC
rnacentral:rRNA from 1 species